rnacentral:misc_RNA from 1 species
GUAGGUGAACCUGCGGAAGGAUCAAUGCAGAAUAGGUUGGGGUUCGGAUGUAUGAGUGUUGAUGUCAAUGUUCAUGCACUGUCCUCUAAUAUAUGUUAGCGUCCCGAAGGGAUGCGUGGAAGUCUGGUGGUAGAUGUUGUUUUAAUGAUGAAAGUUGUUUUAAUGAUGAAAGUUGUUUUGAUGAUGGAAGUUGUUUUAAUGACAGAUAUUGCCCUAGCGUCUAUGCAUUCUGGAACGACGCAACACUUGC